GGAGGUACCACAGGGGAGGGGUCGUGUAUUCCGGAAGACACCAUUGUACUAGUGGAGACACGAACGGUCUCCUCAUCCCGCGAGUGGAUCGGCCUCCACCCUAGACCGAGGAGAGAAUGGCUCUGCCUGGACCGACCCCCGCGCCGGGCGGACCGGAUCUUCGGCCUAAAGCGUCCACCUGUCUGGAAGCCGCCACCACCAAGCUUUUAUUAAUAUAUCCGUUCCCGCCGGGUUGGCUAUACAGAUGCGAAUCAACUCCGGGGGUGGGGUGAGGAGCAAGGCCGCGGAGCGGUGAUUGCUUCCUGGACGAGUUGCGUAGGGCGGGACAAAGUCCUGCCCUGAGCUCUGAUUGGUCACCGCGAGACUGCCUACCUAAGCUCUUCCAGGGUACCGAGGUUUUCCGGGAUCACUAAGAGGCUACAAACCGGGUCCUUCGGCUCCGCGCUCCCAUUGGCUGCUGUUUCGGCGCAAGCGCUUUGGCUCCUGGGUUGGCGUUCAGGGUUGCCGAGGCAGGGCUUUGGCUACUGGAGACCGUAGGUUCGAAUCCCGUCUGGGAACUUCAACUUGUGCAUCUGUAAAAGAAGCUGGCAUUAUUGGCUUGUACUCAAGGGCUGGCACAGAGUGUGUCGGGGUGCGGACGCCCCAGCCACGCCCAUCAUCCGUGCGGAAGAUGCAGAGGUCAUAUCGGAUGCCUUUCUGUACCACGCGAUUCGGGCAGUCAUAGCCACAGCGGCAGCGGGAGUUGCACUCGUAGAUGGGCAGCCCGGCUCGAAGCCGCACCUGGCCCUGGUCAUUGUAGGCAAACUUGUGCAGUGAUGCCCCCGGGCAGCAGCCUCCAGUGGGUGCCCACAGACAGUCCUGGCACUCGCAGCCCACAGCCACCUGGUUGAGGGUGAUGCCCUCACCAACACGGUACUCAUUGAUGUACACGAAGGCCCGCGGGGGGCCGUCCAGGUCCACCUCAUUCUCUACAGUGAUGCGUCCCAGAUGGCUGCGCUUGGCAUUGAGCUCCUGCUCCCAGCGACGGAGCGCCCGCCUCUGCUUGGCCUUCUGCACCAGGUAGUUGGCCAAGCUUGGGUCCAGGUGCCGGGGGGUCUUUGACCGGUGGUGCCGCCGGAGCAGCUCCCUCUCUAAGUCCUUGUGGAACUGCUUGAGAAUACGCACACACUUGAGAUUCUGCCGUGGCUCCCAGGUGCUCUCUGAGUCUGGAUAUCCGCGCCAUUUCACCAGGUAAUAUUCCUGUUCCUGUUGGGGGUGGGUAGGGGAACGGUGGUACCAUAAGUGGUGAGAUCUUUGGGCCAGCCUUCAUGGGGCUUCCAUGCCAAAGCUGAUGGAUAACACCUAACCCACCCCACCCCUUUUCUGGAAUGACUUCAUGCGGUGGUUAAAAAGCAUGGGCUCUAGCGUGAGGAUUACCAGGUUCAAAUCCUGCUCUCCCCCUUACUGUCUGUCCAAACUGUUCCAACUUUUAAUUAAUCUCCCAAACCCACUCCCCUCCUUGGUCUUCCCCAUCAUCAGCUCCCUCCUUCUAGCUGUUCAGACCGGAACUCCUGGAGUCAUCCUUGAAUCCUCUUUUGUUCACACUUCCGACAUCCACCCUCCGCACAUCCCGUUAGCCCCACCUUCAAAAUACAUCCAGUGACAAACCAUCAUCACUGCCACCACUAUGGCUCACCUGGACCCUGACAAGUCCUUGCCUGUUUUAGGCAGCUUACAUGUAUUAUUAACUAACUUAAUCCUCACAACCCGACAUGAGGUGGAUGCUCCUAGUCAUCCCCCUUUUAUGACAAAGGAAAUGAAGUACUGAGGGUUUGGGUAGGUAAACACAACCAGGACUGGAACCCAAGCAUGCUGACUCCAGUUUGUUCUCCUAACCAUCCUGCCACUCCCCCUUCUGGCAAUAACUGUCCCCAUUUCACAGUUGUUAGGGGAUCAAAUGAGUUUCCUAGAGGAAGCACCUGGCACACUGAAAGUGCUCAAUAGCCGUUAGCUGUUGACAUUUCCACUCUAGGGUUCAGCAUCUCAACCUUUGCAGUUACUUUGUAUUCCUAGGGAGAUGGGAAGAGAAUUCAUUCCGGCUCCUGCCCCCAUCAGAAAGCUACUUAGUUUCCCUAUCUGUAACAUAGGGAUAAAAGGGUCUGUUCAUCCUAUUUUUUCAGGGUCAGAGGAGAAAAUUCCCUUUGCAAACAGAUGUGGGCAGUUGGGGACAAGAGGGCAGGACACUUAACUUCCUUGUGACCUGUCCCCUCCCAAAGCAUGGUCACCCCAGACUCACGCGGAUCUUCUUGUAAUCGCACAGGUACUCGACUUCAAAGUCAUAGAGGUUCCUCUUAGAGAUACCGAGGGCAGGGCAGGAGAGCUUGGCCAGGCGGCACAGGUCCUGCAGCUGAUUCCAAGAAGACUUGCAACACACGCUGCAGCCUGGAUCAAGCAGGGCAGAAAGAACUAUUACUGGGCAGUCUGACAAGGCCAGGUGUCAAAGGGGACCCCAAAUCCUCCCUGGGACAUCCCAAAGACUGCCUAAGAGUCAGGGAACUUUAAUCCACAGGCCUUCCCCAAUGCUGAGACUGUUCUACAACAGAAAUGUGCUUUGAACCCCAAUGCUCACUGCCCAAGGCUGCCCCUGGAGCAGCAGACCUCUGAGGGGGGUUUGCAACAUGAAUCGUCCUAAAGGAAUCUAUUUCCAGAGCUUCAAACUCCAUGUCAUUCCUAAUACUGCCUGCAAACCUGCUUUGGGUUCAGGACCUGACUACCUUUCUCUCCACUUUGCAAAAGAAAGAGAACAACCCCCCAUCUCAGUAGGAUGCAAUGCCCCGAGGUGUUGGGGGCGGUGGGCGCGGAUGGGAGGACAAGAUUAAAACCUCCAGGGCACCAAACAAAGGCUAA